UUGCUGGACUGAGAUCAAGCGGUUCAUGGUGCCAAAAAACCAGGGAAGCUGCUGAGGCUCCAAGGGCGCUGCAGAAGGGCCUUCAGGGGCAGCAUCACCCCACUGAGCGGUGGCCUGGCAUGCAGAUCCAUGGGACCGCUGGUGUCGGUCCUGCACCCCGGCUCACCAGGGCUCACAGCUCAGGUGCUCCUUUGCACAUUCCUUAAAGGGAAGCCCCUUGCUGGGGUGAGCUCCCACGGACUUGGGAAUGAAAGCCCCAACCAAGCAUCUAGAGAUUCUAGGUGCUUCCAGCCCAUCAGCUCAUUCAAUGGAUACUCUCAUCACCCUCACCAUGAUCAUCAUCCCUUACCCCUGUCCGACACUGGACAAAGAGGCACAGAAUCUUAAUUCACUAGCCAGAGUCCUCCCCAGAGAUGCUUGUAGGAGAAAAGAAUAUUCACUUCUGGAAUUCAUCAGCUCCAGCUGUUUACUUCCAUUUGAGGCCAGAAACUUAUUUUUUCCCCCUGUGGUUAACUUUCUUAUGGGAGAGGGGGAAGGAAGGCCUCUAACAUGCAAUUAUCAGAAAUUGUUACCCUUCACCAACAAAAUCACUCAAUUUGUCCCAAAUGUUGACUGAGAGCUCACCACCAGACCAGAGGAGACAAGAUAUGGGGGGCUGAAGGAUCUUAAUAGAAUCCAGGGUCUUCCACCAUCUCCAGCUGCAUUCUUCAAGGAUAGGAUUCUGUGAUCAGAGAAGUCAAGGAAAUGCUGGGCUACACGAAUUUGUCUACUAUAGGAUUUCCUAGAGUCGACGUAAGCUAAUAAAGCUGUAAUGCUCCAAUAGUCACCAAUAAUCUUCCAUGCUGGGGCGUCCCAGUGGCUCAGUUGGUUAAGUGUCUGACUCUUGGUUUUGGCUCAGAUCAUGAUCUCACAGGUUGUAGGAUAAAGGCCCGCUUCAAGCUCAGCGCUCAGCAGGAGUCUGCCUGGAUAUUCUCUCCCUCUCCUUCUGCCCCUUUCCCCACUUGCAUAUGCACUCUCUAUCUCAAUAAGAUAGAUAGAUGAUAGAU